GUGAGGAAUAUUGGUCAAUGGACGAGAGUCUGAACCAGCCAAGUCGCGUGAAGGAAGACGGUUCUAUGAAUUGUAAACUUCUUUUGUGCAGGAAUAAAGUGGGUUACGUGUAACCUUUUGUAUGUACUGUACGAAUAAGGAUCGGCUAACUCCGUGCCAGCAGCCGCGGUAAUACGGAGGAUCCGAGCGUUAUCCGGAUUUAUUGGGUUUAAAGGGUGCGUAGGUGGAUUGAUAAGUCAGCGGUGAAAGUUUGCAGCUUAACUGUAAAAUUGCCGUUGAAACUGUCGGUCUUGAGUGCAAAUGAGGUAGGCGGAAUGUGUUGUGUAGCGGUGAAAUGCUUAGAUAUAACACAGAACACCGAUUGCGAAGGCAGCUUACUGGGAUGCAACUGACGCUCAUGCACGAAAGCGUGGGGAUCAAACAGGAUUAGAUACCCUAGUAGUCC
rnacentral:rRNA from 1 species